rnacentral:rRNA from 1 species
CUUCUAAGCUGAAGUUGAUAAUUAAAUUGACUCUUGCCUGCGCUGCUGAAAUAUUGCGUGCGCGGCGAGGUUGGUUUGGUUGCAAUUUCAUUCAAGGCUUAGAAAUCUCCUUACACACUUUGUUUUCUUAUUAGAGACAAUUUUGCUUUGGUUGAAAGCCGUGUAAAAGCGGCAUAUUCGGCCAGGGGUUUAAACAAAACACAUUUCGUUUUCCCUCGUGGAAGAUUGAAAAUUUGAUCUUGAAUUUUUGUCAGCUUUAAAAGGUUUGCGUAGCAGGCCUUUCUAAACUUUAAAACUUUCAACAACGGAUCUCUUGGUUCUCGCAUCGAUGAAGAACGCAGCGAAAUGCGAUAAGUAAUGUGAAUUGCAGAUUUUCGUGAAUCAUUGAAUCUUUGAACGCACAUUGCGCCCUCUGGUAUUCCAGAGGGCAUGCCUGUUUGAGCGUCAUUUCCCUCUCAAACCCUUGGGUUUGGUGAUGGGCAAUACUCUCGUAAGAGAGUUUGCUUGAAAUGUAUUGGCAUGAGUUUUUGAUAUGAACUUUAGCUGUUUAUUCAAUGUAUUAGGUUUAAUCCAUCGUUGAUUGACAAUUGAAGCUUCUUUCAAAAUUUGGCUCUGCCUAACAAACUUUAUCAUAAAGUUUGACCUCAAAUCAGGUAGGAUUACCCGCUGAACUUAAGCAUAUCAAU